AAGUUUUUAUAACAUACGUUAAGUGCAUUUGUUACCUUGAGCCUUAUUCAAUACCCUUUCUAUAAACACAAAUGUAUAAUAAAAAUAUUUAUGGUAAUAACGUGUUAGAUAAUAGCUAAAUAACCAUUAUUCAUUAUAUUAUUUAUAUAUCUGCAGUGUACAAUUAUUAUUAUUGGGUACCUAUGUAAAAUAAUACCGACUAGGUUGAUAAUAAUUUUAAAUUUAAUUUAUAUGUAUUAAUUUGACGUUGGCUGUUUAAUGAAAAAAUAUAUUUAGUUUUGUUUGUUAUUAUAAUGACGGUAAUGUAUUGAAUAAUAAAAAUAAUGAAGUAAAGCUUAAAAUGCGAGUGUAGUAGAACCGAUAAAUUUAUAUUUUGAUUUCAUUGGGUGAUCUAUGAGAUAAUAUAUAUAAU